CUACAAAGGAAUUGACGGGAACCCGCACAAGCGGUGGAGGAUGUGGUUCAAUUCGACGCAACGCGAGAACCUUACCAGGGCUUGACAUCCCCUGACCGCGUAUGAAAGUACGUUUUCACCCUCGGGUGACAGGGAGACAGGUGGUGCAUGGUUGUCGUCAGCUCGUGUCGUGAGAUGUUGGGUUAAGUCCCGCAACGAGCGCAACCCCUACGUUUAGUUGCUAACGCGUGAAGGCGAGCACUCUAGACGAACUGCCGUUGACAAAACGGAGGAAGGUGGGAUGACGUCAAAUCAUCAUGCCCCUUAUGUUCUGGGCUACACACGUGCUACAAUGGCCGGUACAGACGGACGCAAAGCCGCGAGGUGGAGCAAAUCCUAAAAAGCCGGUCUCAGUUCGGAUUGCAGGCUGCAAUUCGCCUGCAUGAAGUCGGAAUCGCUAGUAAUCGCAGGUCAGCAUACUGUCGGUCGAAUACGUUCCCGGGCCUU
rnacentral:rRNA from 1 species